AACGAACGCUGGCGGCAUGCCUAACACAUGCAAGUCGAACGAGACCUUCGGGUCUAGUGGCGCACGGGUGCGUAACGCGUGGGAACCUGCCCUUAGGUUCGGAAUAACUCCCCGAAAGGGGUGCUAAUACCGGCUAAUGUCUUCGGACCAAAGAUUUAUCGCCUUUGGAUGGGCCCGCGUUGGAUUAGCUAGUUGGUAGGGUAAAAGCCUACCAAGGCGACGAUCCAUAGCUGGUCUGAGAGGAUGAUCAGCCACACUGGGACUGAGACACGGCCCAGACUCCUACGGGAGGGAGCAGUGGGGAAUAUUGGACAAUGGGCGAAAGCCUGAUCCAGCAAUGCCGCGUGAGUGAUGAAGGCCUUAGGGUUGUAAAGCUCUUUUACCCGGGAUGAUAAUGACAGUACCGGGAGAAUAAGCUCCGGCUAACUCCGUG
rnacentral:rRNA from 1 species